rnacentral:rRNA from 1 species
CUACAGGAUCCCCUAGUAACUGCGAGUGAAGCGGGAAAAGCUCAAAUUUAAAAUCUGUCAGUCUUUGGCUGUCCGAGUUGUAAUCUAGAGAAGUGUUAUCCGCGCUGGACCGUGUACAAGUCUCCUGGAAUGGAGCGUCAUAGAGGGUGAGAAUCCCGUCUUUGACACGGACUACCAGGGCUUUGUGAUAUGCUCUCAAAGAGUCGAGUUGUUUGGGAAUGCAGCUCAAAAUGGGUGGUAAAUUCCAUCUAAAGCUAAAUAUUGGCGAGAGACCGAUAGCGAAUAAGUACCGUGAGGGAAAGAUGAAAAGAACUUUGGAAAGAGAGUUAAACAGUACGUGAAAUUGCUGAAAGGGAAACGCUUGAAGUCAGUCGCGUUGUCCAGGAAUCAACCUUGCUUUUGCUUGGUGUACUUUCUGGUUAACGGGUCAGCAUCAAUUUUGACUAUUGGAAAAAGAUUAGGGGAAUGUGGCAUCUUCGGAUGUGUUAUAGCCCUUGGUUGCAUACAAUGGUUGGGAUUGAGGAACUCAGCACGCCGCAAGGCCGGGUUUUAACCACGUACGUGCUUAGGAUGCUGGCAUAAUGGCUUUAAUCGACCCGUCUUGAAACACGGACCAAGGAGUCUAACAUGCCUGCGAGUGUUUGGGUGGAAAACCCGAGCGCGUAAUGAAAGUGAAAGUUGAGAUCCCUGUCGUGGGGAGCAUCGACGCCCGGACCAGACCUUUUGUGACGGUUCCGCGGUAGAGCAUGUAUGUUGGGACCCGAAAGAUGGUGAACUAUGCCUGAAUAGGGUGAAGCCAGAGGAAACUCUGGUGGAGGCUCGUAGCGAUUCUGACGUGCAAAUCGAUCGUCAAAUUUGGG